rnacentral:rRNA from 1 species
GGCCUACCAUGCAGUCGAGCGGUAACAGGGGUAGCUUGCUACCCGCUGACGAGCGGCGGACGGGUGAGUAAUGCAUAGGAAUCUGCCCGGUAGUGGGGGAUAACCUGGGGAAACCCAGGCUAAUACCGCAUACGUCCUACGGGAGAAAGGGGGCUUCGGCUCCCGCUAUUGGAUGAGCCUAUGUCGGAUUAGCUAGUUGGUGAGGUAAUGGCUCACCAAGGAACGAUCCGUAGCUGGUCUGAGAGGAUGAUCAGCCACAUCGGGACUGAGACACGGCCCGAACUCCUACGGGAGGCAGCAGUGGGGAAUAUUGGACAAUGGGGGCAACCCUGAUCCAGCCAUGCCGCGUGUGUGAAGAAGGCCUUCGGGUUGUAAAGCACUUUCAGCGAGGAAGAACGCCUAGUGGUUAAUACCCAUUAGGAAAGACAUCACUCGCAGAAGAAGCACCGGCUAACUCCGUGCCAGCAGCCGCGGUAAUACGGAGGGUGCAAGCGUUAAUCGGAAUUACUGGGCGUAAAGCGCGCGUAGGUGGCUUGAUAAGCCGGUUGUGAAAGCCCCGGGCUCAACCUGGGAACGGCAUCCGGAACUGUCAAGCUAGAGUGCAGGAGAGGAAGGUAGAAUUCCCGGUGUAGCGGUGAAAUGCGUAGAGAUCGGGAGGAAUACCAGUGGCGAAGGCGGCCUUCUGGACUGACACUGACACUGAGGUGCGAAAGCGUGGGUAGCAAACAGGAUUAGAUACCCUGGUAGUCCACGCCGUAAACGAUGUCGACCAGCCGUUGGGUGCCUAGCGCACUUUGUGGCGAAGUUAACGCGAUAAGU